rnacentral:lncRNA from 10 species
CCAGGACGGUGAGACAAUGAACCUCGGUUAUCACCCCAGACAAGGAGGCCACUUCAGUAACUGAGAAUUCACUUAAGAGUUAAUCUCUUUAGAGAACGCGAUGUGCUCAUCAUGACAGCAUCACCAGCACUCGGAUUGAUGGAUCUGUGAAGAAAUGGAUGAAAUGGUCCAGCGAAGGCUACAAGUGACAGAAAAGAAUGUUGUGAUUAGGCCAGUAGAGAGACACAGGUGUCAAGUCAAAGAGAAAUGGAUAAGCAGACACCAUGGGCGUCACGGGCCUCUGCCUUAGGGAUCUCUGCAUAAGACAGCACCAGCAUAAUUUUCAGCAACAGGCUGGCUGGACAUGUCUUCGUGAUGCUGCUGCAGGAGAGUGAAUGUUCCUGAAUCCAGGUGCAAUGGGAAAGCACAAAUUUCCUUGGCAUUUCCCAUUUUCCCCACAGCGGCCUCUUCCUCAUUUAUGUAUCUCUUCUUUCAUCUUCUCUCCUCCCCUUCAAACAUAUUCCUCCAACCCUAGAUUGCAUUGCUGUAUUUCCUGCCGAGCCGUGGCUAGAUAAGAGGUUAACUAAUAAAAGUAUAGGGUGUCCACAGCUCCCCUGCAGAGGCAUUCACUAAUAAUGAGAGGAUUCUUUGUGGAGGGAAAAAAGACACUUUUUUUUCCCCAUUAUGAAAGGUAGCUGUUAAUAUUUUAGCAUAAUUCCUUUCAGUCUUUAUUCUGUGCAUAAUUUUUGUUUGGACUUUUGAGUAUAGUUGAGAUGACAUUGUAUGUAUGAUUAUAGAACCUACUAUAUUUUCAUGUAACAAGCAUUUCUCGAAAUUAUUAUAGACUCAUAGGAAGGAUCAUUUUUUUUAAGGUACAUGUAAUAUUCCACUCAGUUGAUGGGCCAUAAUUUACUGAACUCUUUCUCUACUGUCAUAAUUCCCCUUAAGGGAGGAAUUGUUCUAAACUUAGAAAAAUGCUUUUAAGUCCUAAAAGUAACAAUAAUUGCUCUAUUACUAUAUAAUAGUAAUAAUAAUAAUUGAAUACUCACUACAUGCCAGAUAUUCUAAACAUUCUCUAUUUAUUAACUCAUUUAAUCCUCACAGCAAAUGUUAAAAGACAAGUACUAUUAAUUUUACUAUCAUGUGGGAGAUAACAGUUUGCAAACCUGUAAAAUUAAGGCAUGUUCCAGAGAACAAAGGGAAGUUUCCAGUUUUAUAGCAAAAGUUCCUGCCCAGCUACCCAAUCAAAUCUGUUUAUCCAAAUGAAAGUUUCAAACUUGCCUAGUUUUCAUUGGUUGGCACAGCUGAGUUCUGAUUGGUCAAUACAACUGAUCCUUGAUUGGUUGAUAUAGCUGAGCCCUGAUUAGUUGGCUCUGGUGAGCUCUGAAGUCCCCAAGUUAAGCAGAGGUGAGAUUUUUCUGGAAACUCAGAGUAUGGCCAUUUGGCUUUAUUUUUAAAUUUAGGCCUACUUAGCCACCUGGGCUCCAUCUUGAAGGACUGGCUUAGCCACCCAGGAUCCAUCUCGAAGGACGUUUUUAGGUUCACAUUUGUUCACAGUAUAGAGAUGGCAAGGAACUUGCUGAAGCUCCCAGCUAGGAAGUAGGAGAGUAUAGCUUUUGAAUCCAUGCACUUUGGCUCCAGCACUUGCGUACUGAAGUACAAGAUGGAUGAUAAGAGGCAAGGGUCCAUUUGUGAGCUGGAGUCACAAAUUCAAGUUCAAGAACAAGAGCAUAACUGCUCAGCAUGAGACAAGGAGAGGAACUCUGUUAUUGAAAUGCAGAGGGUGGGAGGGGAGGUGGAAAAUGAAGGAAAAGAGAGAAGAAUCAAGUGAUGAUGGGGAAGGGACCAAGAGAAGAACUUGACAGUGGUGGGAAGCCAAAAAUAGGACUUUAGAGAAAAUCUGUCUAAAGCAGAUUUUUAACAAUAGCUUUAUUGAGGUAUAAUUUACAUAAACUAUAUUUGAAGUAUACAAUAAGUUGAAACUAUCACCACAAUCAAGAUAGUAAAAAUGUCUAUCACCCCAAAGUUUCUUUGUGUUCCUUGUAAGCUCCCAAUCCAAUCCCUGCCUACCCAGGCAACCACAACUUCUUUCUGUCAUUAUAAAUUGAUUUGCAUUUUCUAGAAUCGUAUAUCUAUAUAUGGAAUCAUAUACUAUAUACUCCCUUUCUGUCUGGUAUAUUUCACUCUGUAGUUAUUUUGAGAUUCAUUUAUGUUUUAGUAUGUAUAAGUAGUUUAUUCCUUUUAAUGCUGAGAAGUAUUUCAUUAUAUGAAUAUGUCAAAAAUCUGUGUAUCUGUUCCCCUGUUGAUAGAUAUUUGGGUUGUUUCUAGUUUGGGGCUAUUACAAUAAAGCUGCUCUGGACAUUCCUGUUCAAGUCUUUGUAUGAACACCUGUUUUCAUUCCACUAGGAACAGAAUUACUGAGUUAUAUUUUUUGUUGAACUCUUUAAGAAACUGUUUUCCAAAGUGGUCAUUCCAGCAACAUAUAAGAAUUCCAAUUCUUCAAUAUCCUAACCAAUACUUGAUACUGUAAAUCUUUUUAAUGUUAAAUAUUCUAAAGAUAUGUAGUAGCAUCUCAUUGUGAUUUUAAUUUGCAUUUUCCUGAGCAUGUUUUCAUGUGCUUAUUUACCAUCCAUAUCUCUCUCUUGAUGAAGUGUCCAUUAAAAUAUUUUCCCCAUUUUUCUUAUUGAGCUGUUUUAUUGAGUUUGGGAGUUAUUUAUAUAUUUAGAUAUAAAUCCUUUAUCAGAUAUGUGAUAUGCAAAUGUUUUUUCCAGCCUGUGGCUUGACUUUUCAUUCCAUUAACAGUGUGUUUCAAAAAGCAGAAGCUCUUAAUUUUGAUAAAGUCCAAUUCAUCAAUUUUUUUUCUUUUAUGGAUUAUGCUUUUGAUGUCAUAGCUAAAAAAUCUUUGCCUAAUUCAUGGUCACGAAGAUAUUCUCCUAUCUUUUAUUCCAGAAGUUUUAUACUCAUAGACUUUACAUUUAGAUUUAUGAUCAAUUUUGAGUUCAUUUUUGCACAUGGAGCAAGUAUGGAUCAAAGAUGAUGUUUCACCAUCAGAUAACACUCAUUCCAGCAUCGUUUGUUGAAAAACUAUCCUCCUUACACUGAAUUGUCUUUGUAAUUUUGCCAAAAUAAAUUGACCAUAUAUGUGUGGCCAAUAGAACUCUCUGUUCUGUUCUACUUAUCCAUAUAUCUAUCUUUACACCAAUAUCACACUGUCUUGAUUAUAGAUUUGUAAAAUCUUCAACAAAGAUAGUGUAAGUCCUCAAACUUCAUUCUUCCCUUCAAAUUUGUUUUGGUUGUUCUAAUUCCUUUGCUUUUCCCUACCCAUGCCAAUUUCUACCAAAAAAAAAAGUGUUAGAAUUUUUAUUCGGAGAUGUUAAAUCCGUAAAUUAAUUUUAGGGAAAAUUGGCAUCUUAACAAUAUUGCAUCUUCCAUCCCACAAAAUUGGUAUAUCUUUCCAUAAAAGGGAUUUUUUAAUGUUAUCUGGCAUGUGCUGAUUUCAGUAGCAGUCAUCUGCAAAGUUAUAAAGUAAUAAAUGUGUGCUUGUAAACGUUUUUUAGUUGUGUGUCUGUUUAAAUACUAUUGAAAGGGUUGCUGUUUGCUGAUGAUAUGAUUGUAUAACUAAAAAGUCCUCAAGACUCCUCCAAAAAGCUCCUAGAACUGAUAAAAUAAUUCAGCAAUGUUUCCAGAUACAAAAUUAAUGUACACAAAUAAGUAGUUCUCCUAUACACCAACAGCAACCAAGCUGAGAAUCAAAUCAAGAACUCAACCUCUUUUGCAACAGCUGCAAAAAAUAAAUAAAUAAAUAAAUAAAAUACUUAAGAAAAUACCUAACCAAGGAGGUGAAAACUACAACGAAAACUACAAAACACUGCUGAAAGAAAUCAUAGACAACAUAAAAAAAUGGAAACACAUCCCACACCCGUGGAUGUGUAGAAUCAAUAUUGUGAAGAUGACCAUACUGCCAAAAGCAAUCUACAAAUACAAUUCAAUUCCCAUGAAUUGAAUUCUUCACAGAACUAAAAAAGAAAAAAAACCCCUAAAAUUCACAUGAAACCAAAAAAGACCCCACGUAGCCAAAGCAAGGCUAAGCAAAAAUAACCAAUCUGGAGGCAUCACAUUACCUGAUUUCAAACUAUACUAUAAGGCCAUAGUCACCAAAACAGCAUGGUACUGGUAUAAAAAUA